UGGGGAAUUUUGGACAAUGGGCGCAAGCCUGAUCCAGCCAUGCCGCGUGCGGGAAGAAGGCCUUCGGGUUGUAAACCGCUUUUGUCAGGGAAGAAAUCUUCUGAGUUAAUACCUCGGGAGGAUGACGGUACCUGAAGAAUAAGCACCGGCUAACUACGUGCCAGCAGCCGCGGUAAUACGUAGGGUGCAAGCGUUAAUCGGAAUUACUGGGCGUAAAGCGUGCGCAGGCGGUUUUGUAAGACAGAGGUGAAAUCCCCGGGCUCAACCUGGGAACUGCCUUUGUGACUGCAAGGCUUGAGUGCGGCAGAGGGGGGAUGGAAUUCCGCGUGUAGCAGUGAAAUGCGUAGAUAUGCGGAGGAACACCGAUGGCGAAGGCAAUCCCCUGGGCCUGCACUGACGCUCAUGCACGAAAGCGUGGGGAGC
rnacentral:rRNA from 1 species